rnacentral:rRNA from 1 species
AGAGUUUGAUCAUGGCUCAGGAUGAACGCUAGCUACAGGCUUAACACAUGCAAGUCGAGGGGAACGACAUCGAAAGCUUGCUUUUGAUGGGCGUCGACCGGCGCACGGGUGAGUAACGCGUAUCCAACCUGCCCACCACUUGGGGAUAACCUUGCGAAAGUAAGACUAAUACCCAAUGACGUCUCUAGAAGACAUCUGAAAGAGAUUAAAGAUUUAUCGGUGAUGGAUGGGGAUGCGUCUGAUUAGCUUGGUUGGCGGGGUAACGGCCCACCAAGGCGACGAUCAGUAGGGGUCUGAGAGGAACGGUCCCCCANAUUGGAACUGGAGACACGGUCCAAACUCCUACGGGAGGCA